rnacentral:lncRNA from 1 species
GUUUUACCACAAUGUUUGUACACACCUUUACCUACACCUAGUGAGCCUUGGGCUGAUAUCUCGAUGGACUUUUUUUGGGUUUAUCUAGGACUGAGAGAGGUCGGGAUUCUAUUUUUGUGGUUGUAGAUAGGUUCAGCAAAAUGGCACAUUUUAUACCAUAACACAAAAUUGACGAUGCCACGAACAUUGCUGACUUAUUCUUUAAAGAGGUUGUGCAUUUACAUGGGUUUCCUAGAAGCAUAGUGUCGGAUCGGGAUGUCAAAUUUUUGAGCCACUUUUGGAGAGUUUGUGGGGGUAAGUUAGGCACUAAAUUACUAUUUUCCACAACUUGCCACCCAGAAACAGAUGGGCAGAACGAGGUAGUGAAUAGGACUAUGACACAAUUGUUACGCACAGUAAUCAAUAAAAAUUUGAAGAGUUGGGAGGAGUGUCUACCAUUUGUUGAAUUUGCAUACAAUCGAGCUGUUCACUCUACUACAUUAUAUUCUCCAUUUGAAAUUGUAGAUGAUUUUAAUCCACUAACUCCUUUGGAUUUAAUUCCUUUACCUGUGAAUGAAUGUGUUAGUCUAGAUGGCAAAAAGAAGGCGGAAUUGAUUAAGUCACUCCAUGAAAAGGUAAAAGCGCAAAUUGAAAACAAAAGUAAGUUGGUUGCGUUGCAGGUGAACAAAGGUAGAAAGUGCGUGACAUUCGAGCCAGGGGAUUGGGUUUGGGUGCACCUUAGGAAAGAGCGGUUUCCAAAGCAUAGGAAGUCCUAGUUGCAACCAAGGGGCGAUGGUCCAUUUCAAAUGAUUGAAAAGAUAAACGACAAUGCUUACAAGUUGGACCUUCCAGGUGAGUACAAUAUUUUGGCUACUUUUAAUGUAUCUGAUCUCUCUCUGUUUGAUGCAGGUUUAGAUUCGAGGAUGAAUCCUUUUGAAGAGGGAGGGGAUGAUAUGAUUCAGGAAUCGAGCCCGACGAAGGCAAAUGCGAGACGAGACCCGUUGAUAGUCGAUGGUGGACCAAUGACGCGAUCAAGGGCAAAGCAAGUGAAACAAGCGAUGGGAUUGCUCGUUCAAGAAACCAUUGAUGGAACCAUAUUCGGGACUCAAAAUGGAGCAACUUUCAUAUUCGGCUUGAAGGCCGAAUCAACUUGGAUCAAUUUGUUACCAAGCGACGAAAGCGGAGGCUGAAGACAACACCAUGCGGCCGCACAGGCAAAACCACAUGCGGCCACACAAAUGCACACGAAAACCAAAAGUGCAAUUUCAGUUGAACCAUGCGACCGCAUGGAUUUACACCAUGCGGCCGCAUAGGCCAAAAAUUUGGCGAAUUUUCCAAUUUUGGCAAUUUUCUAUAUUUUGUUAGAUUUUGAUUCUUUUCCAUAUUUUGGAGAUUAUACUUGACUUUUGCCCAAUAUUUACCUAGUUUUUAGGUUUAGUAUAAAUAGGAGUUUCCAUUCAAUUGUUAAAAAACCUUUGACAUUAUUGAUAUUGAAUUAAAAGUGAG